rnacentral:rRNA from 1 species
UAACGUCCCAGUUCGGAUUGUAGUCUGCAACCCGACUACAUGAAGCUGGAAUCGCUAGUAAUCGCGAAUCAGAAUGUCGCGGUGAAUACGUUCCCGGGUCUUGUACACACCGCCCGUCACACCAUGGGAGUCGGAAAUGCCCGAAGUCAGUGACCCAACCGUAAGGAGGGAGCUGCCGAAGGUGGAGCCGGUAACUGGGGUGAAGUCGUAACAAGGUAAC